CUCUCACAACUCUCCAUCUCUUCGAUCUCUCUCACUCUUCACUUUUUUUUUUUUGAAAUCUCUCUCACUCUCACUCUGAUCACUCUCCAUCUCUUCGAUCUCUCUCACUCUCUGCACUGUCUUCGAUCUCUCUUCGAUUGCUACAAACUCUGCUACAAUCUCUGCUACAGACUACCAAUCUCUGCUACAAGCUUGAUUUGCUAAAACUUCGAUUUCCUCUGCUUGUAGCUAGUUAAACACGAUUUCCUCUGCAUUUCUUCGAUUUCCAGCUAAUCACUCUCUGUAAAUCACUUUUUUCAUCUAUUGUUUUUCAAAUCCGACUAAUCUUUUCUUAAUUUUUUAAAAUCCCUAAUUUUUUUCCUCUCUAGUUUCAGCUCAAUCGUUGUGCUAAAGUUCGUCAAUGCCGUACUUCCUCUCUUUCUUCAUUUUGAUUCUGAUUUUGUAAUGAACGAUAUGUUUUUGUGUAUAUGUUUGCUAGAGUUAUUUGGUUCAAAUUAAUGGUGUCUGAGUUGUAAGAAGAGGAUUUGGCUUAUGCUGCAGUAGUAGAAAUUGUGUAGAUUGAAAAUGGAAAGGGUGUAUCACAUGGGUUUCCUGUCAACUGCUAAUAUCUGUUGAUAUCUCAAUGGCUUUAUAGUCACAAAAUUCAUGUAAAAUUUAGAUACUGAAAUUUGAUGCUUUUGCUCAUGUUGCAGCCACUGAACUUGUUACCAGAUCAAUUAGAAUGAUGAUGGAAUCAGGCUGUGAAGAGGUACACGAAUUUUUAUUACUUGUCUUACUUCAUCAAAUAUUUAUACAAUGGUGGAUGUAUUACUUCAUCACAUUCAUAUGGAGCUUCAGCAUGGGCAUUCCUUGCAGGACCUUAUAUUGAAAACUUGUGCAAACCUUGCCUUUUUUGUUUGGACCCAUGAGCUAAUUCCUGGAUAUAUUGCUUCUAGCACUCAGUGACUGUGAUGAUGAUCCCCAUGCCCUGUGUAUUGUGAUAAGCCUACUUGACGGGCAAGAACUUCAACAAAAGGUGAAAUUAUAUUGUUUGAGUCAUGGGCCUCUUGAGCAUUGGCUUUACACUGGAAUGUUUAAGCGCACUGACUUGCAAAUGGCCCUUCGCAAUCAUCUCUCAUGGAAGGACAGGUAUCCUACAUUCUUCGAUGAUAUUGCAGCACAUUUGCUUCUAGUCAUCCCAUUAAUUGUUUACAGACUUAUUGAGAAUGAUGCUACUAACCAGCUGACAAGAUUUUGGUGAUGUGUUCUCUAUUUUUAGCUUACACCCGUUAAGAUUUACAUUUGUUUGUGACAUUCUUGCAUAUUUCCAUGGUCAUCUACCUGGAAAACUCAUUGUUCAAAUAUUGAAUGUAUUAGAUCUUAGCAAGAUUCCUUUUUCCGAAUCAUUCCUGCAGCACAUUGGUUCAUCAAAUCCUACGCAACUCAAGAAGUGGACCAAUGGGAGAUGCUUCCAAUAAUUCUGUCUGUGGUCCGCAUAACAAAGCUGCAGCAACACCGCAGUCUGGGCCAGCAAAUGCUUCUGAGGGUCAAAAAGCAUUCUAUCAAUUUCAGGACUCUGGGACAUAGUCUCAGCUGGUUCUCGAACCAGAUGUCAUAGAAUUUCUCUCUUCCAAUAUCUGCUUCUCAGAUUGUGUCAUCUCUAGUUCAAAUUGUUGUUAACAUACAACCAACACUGAUUCAGUCAAGGCCUGUGAAUUCCCAUAAUUUGUUUUGUGUUGAAUUCUAAUAUCAAAUACUGAAAAUGAG